CAGGGAAUAGUUUAGUUAGAAUUUCAGCUU
rnacentral:piRNA from 1 species